rnacentral:rRNA from 1 species
GCGCACGCUGGCGGCAUGCUUAACACCUGCAAGUCGCACGGGCAGCAAUGUCAGUGGCGGACGGGUGAGUAACGCGUAGGAACGUGUCCUGAGGUGGGGGACAACCCCGGGAAACUGGGGCUAAUACCGCAUAUGGGCUGAGGCCCAAAGCCGAGAGGCGCCUUUGGAGCGGCCUGCGUCCGAUUAGGUAGUUGGUGGGGUAAAGGCCUACCAAGCCUGCGAUCGGUAGCUGGUCUGAGAGGACGACCAGCCACACUGGGACUGAGACACGGCCCAGACUCCUACGGGAGGCAGCAGUGGGGAAUAUUGGACAAUGGGCGAAAGCCUGAUCCAGCAAUGCCGCGUGGGUGAAGAAGGUCUUCGGAUCGUAAAGCCCUUUCGACGGGGACGAUGAUGACGGUACCCGUAGAAGAAGCCCCGGCUAACUUCGUG